rnacentral:rRNA from 1 species
GCCUCCAAAUUUAGUGGCCUCUCACUGACCUCAUCUGAGCUUGGUGACGAAGCAGGGUCACGCCUGGUUAGUAAUGGAUGGGCGACCACCAGGAAAUCCCAAGAGUGUAAGGGCA